UACAGAGGUCCCGAGCGUUGUUCGGAUUCACUGGGCGUAAAGGGUGCGUAGGUGGCGAGGUAAGUACGGAUGUGAAAUCUCCAAGCUUAACUUGGAAAUGGCAUUGGAAACUACCUUGCUAGAGGUUUGGAGGGGGACUGGAAUGACUUGGUGUGAGCAGUGAAAUGCGUAGAUAUCAAGCGGAACACCAGUGGCGAAGGCGAGCCCUGGACAACACCUGACACUGAGGCACGAAAAGCCUAGGGGAGCAAACAGG
rnacentral:rRNA from 1 species